UGCUGACUUCCAGAAUUUACUGGAAGAGGAAAAGACUCAGGCUACACCCAUUCCUGGAAUGUUGUCUCUCAUCUUGGCUUCUUGGAAUCCCCAGUUCCCUUCAAGAUUCAUCUGGAGUGCCACCUCCUUGAAGAGAAUGACUUUGGAAUGGAAGGUAUGCAUGGGAAGCUGGCCCCAUCAUGUUUGAAAUUCUAGAGACUACCAGAAUGGACCUCAUCUGAUUGAAGAUGUUCAUUCUCUCUCAUGGUUUGAGCUGAGAUCUUAAUUCAAUCUCAACUGAAGAAGUGGUUCAUUUUUGUAUAUUUCUUGGCACAUU